rnacentral:rRNA from 1 species
UACGUAGGGUGCGAGCGUUGUCCGGAAUUAUUGGGCGUAAAGGGCUCGUAGGCGGUUUGUCGCGUCGGGAGUGAAAACUCGGGGCUUAACUCCGGGCCUGCAGUGGGUACGGGCAGACUAGAGUGCGGUAGGGGAGACUGGAAUUCCUGGUGUAGCGGUGAAAUGCGCAGAUAUCAGGAGGAACACCGGUGGCGAAGGCGGGUCUCUGGGCCGAUACUGACGCUGAGGAGCGAAAGCGUGGGGAGCGAACAGG